CCUACGGGGUGCAGCAGUCGAGAAUCAUUCACAAUGGGGGAAACCCUGAUGGUGCGACGCCGCGUGGGGGAAUGAAGGUCUUCGGAUUGUAAACCCCUGUCAUGUGGGAGCAAAUUAAAAAGAUAGUACCACAAGAGGAAGAGACGGCUAACUCUGUGCCAGCAGCCGCGGUAAUACAGAGGUCUCAAGCGUUGUUCGGAAUCACUGGGCGUAAGGCGUGCGUAGGCUGUUUCGUAAGUCGUGUGUGAAAGGCGCGGGCUCAACCCGCGGACGACACAUGAUACUGCGAGACUAGAGUAAUGGAGGGGGAACCGGAAUUCUCGGUGUAGCAGUGAAAUGCGUAGAUAGCGAGAGGAACACUCGUGGCGAAGGCGGGUUCCUGGACAUUAACUGACGCUGAGGCACGAAGGCCAGGGGAGCGAAAGGGAUUAGAUACCCCUGUAGUC
rnacentral:rRNA from 1 species